ACUGCUUCUCAGCUCACUGGCUAAGAUCAAGCACAGCAUCUGUUAUCAGUUUAACAUUUGAUACAUCCUCUAUCCAAAAUAUUAAGAUAAAGGAUAUUCAACCAGU
rnacentral:snRNA from 1 species